UACGUAGGGGGCUAGCGUUGUCCGGAAUCAUUGGGCGUAAAGCGCGUGUAGGCGGCCCGGUAAGUCCGCUGUGAAAGUCGGGGGCUCAACCCUCGGAUGCCGGUGGAUACUGUCGGGCUAGAGUGCGGAAGAGGCGAGUGGAAUUCCUGGUGUAGCGGUGAAAUGCGUAGAUAUUAGGAGGAACACCGGUGGCGAAGGCGGCUACCUGGCCCGAUACUGACGCUCAUGUGCGAAAGCGUGGGGAGCAAACAGG
rnacentral:rRNA from 1 species